UUAUUCUAGAGUUUGAUCAUGGCUCAGAUUGAACGCUGGCGGCAGGCCUAACACAUGCAAGUCGAACGGUAGCACAGAGAGCUUGCUCUCGGGUGACGAGUGGCGGACGGGUGAGUAAUGUCUGGGAAACUGCCUGAUGGAGGGGGAUAACUACUGGAAACGGUAGCUAAUACCGCAUAAUGUCGCAAGACCAAAGAGGGGGACCUUCGGGCCUCUUGCCAUCAGAUGUGCCCAGAUGGGAUUAGCUAGUAGGUGGGGUAACGGCUCACCUAGGCGACGAUCCCUAGCUGGUCUGAGAGGAUGACCAGCCACACUGGAACUGAGACACGGUCCAGACUCCUACGGGAGGCAGCAGUGGGGAAUAUUGCACGAUGGGCGCAAGCCUGAUGCAGCCAUGCCGCGUGUAUGAAGAAGGCCUUCGGGUUGUAAAGUACUUUCAGCGGGGAGGAAGGUGUUGUGGUUAAUAACCACAGCAAUUGACGUUACCCGCAGAAGAAGCACCGGCUAACUCCGUGCCAGCAGCCGCGGUAAUACGGAGGGUGCAAGCGUUAAUCGGAAUUACUGGGCGUAAAGCGCACGCAGGCGGUCUGUCAAGUCGGAUGUGAAAUCCCCGGGCUCAACCUGGGAACUGCAUUCGAAACUGGCAGGCUGGAGUCUUGUAGAGGGGGGUAGAAUUCCAGGUGUAGCGGUGAAAUGCGUAAAGAUCUGGAGGAAUACCGGUGGCGAAGGCGGCCCCCUGGACAAAGACUGACGCUCAGGUGCGAAAGCGUGGGGAGCAAACAGGAUUAAAUACCCUGGUAGUCCACGCCGUAAACGAUGUCGAUUUGGAGGUUGUGCCCUUGAGGCGUGGCUUCCGGAGCUAACGCGUUAAAUCGACCGCCUGGGGAGUACGGCCGCAAGGUUAAAACUCAAAUGAAUUGACGGGGGCCCCCCCAAGCGGGGGAGCAUGGGGUUUUAUUUCGAUG
rnacentral:rRNA from 1 species